rnacentral:rRNA from 1 species
UGGGGAAUAUUGCACAAUGGGGGAAACCCUGAUGCAGCGACGCCGCGUGAGUGAAGAAGUAUUUCGGUAUGUAAAGCUCUAUCAGCAGGGAAGAAAAUGACGGUACCUGACUAAGAAGCCCCGGCCUAACUACGUGCC